ACCGAUUCUUGGUGGCCAUUUUCAACUACUUCUCAUACUUCCUGAGAACAUAGGAGGAACUUCAUCUGCAAGAUCCAGUUGUCAUAGUUGACGCCUUUUGUUGACUUAGGUAGAGGCAUACCGUUUGCAAGAGCAGGGAACAUGGUUUCCAACUGAUCAAGAUGGAAAAGAAAGGCCAAUAAACAUCUUGAGGCUCUGGAGCUUGCUCAGUAAUCCAGUGUGUGGGGUUGACA